CUGGCCCUGAAUCAAGGCUGGCAGCUUCCUGAUGCAGUUGGUUUCAAGCAGGAGCCUAAAGAGAUGUCUUUCUAUGGUCUGUUGGCCAUUUCAGAACUUGGAUAAUGAAAUGGUCAAUUCAUUAGAAAGAAACACCU
ensembl:snoRNA small nucleolar RNA SNORA2/SNORA34 family